UUUUGACUGACACUACUAAAUUAAGUAUUAUGGUAUUGUGGAUGUGAAGAUCUUAUGCGGUAAUUACUUUCAUGUGGGCUAAGUCUUUUAUGAUCUUGGUGAGGCACAUGCUGACAUUAUCGGCUCGAUCAAACGCCAGGUGCAUGAUAUGAUUUCUUAUGUCUGGCAGCAUUGCAGCAUGUGCAUGCCUAAGCCAAAUUAUGAUUCUGUGGCUUGACUAUUCAGUUACAUGAAAGCUGUUGGUGGUUGCCGGACUUCCUGUGAAAGAGUGAUUGGAAAACAAUGAUAAUGACCGAAAAAGUUUUAUGCUUAUGUAAUUCGUUCGCACGGAGUAAUGAAGCUUUUGCACAUUAUAAUUG
rnacentral:lncRNA from 1 species